CAAGGUGGAGCUUGUUAGUUAAGUAUUUCAUUUACACUGAAAAUAUUUCUGUGCAAUUCAGGAUACCUUGA
rnacentral:tRNA from 1 species